UUCUCUGUGUUAGCCCUGCGACAGGCUGGUGACCUGUACAAGGUGUACCCUGCCUCUCACCCUAUGACAGCUGGGAUUAGCCACCCUGACCAGGAUAAGUGGCAGAGAAUGAAUGGAUGGGACUACAAGAUUAGGACAUUUAGUGAGUUCUCUGCAGACCUCACCUUAGCUCACCUGAGGUUUGCUUUGUUGGGAAUGAGUACCUGCUGCCUCUUGUCUCAGCCCUGUGGGGGCACAGACGGCGAGCGGCGUCUGCUGUGAGGUGACGUCGGUGAACCGGCCUCCCCUCAGAGCAUCCACAGUAACCACAGACAUGAAACUCAGCAGGAAAGCUGCCGUCAUUCAGCUUCACUGCUGCCGGCUCUUUCCUCCCUCUUCUGCUAAGAAGCCUCUCAGUUUUAGUGGAGGACAUCAGGAUCCAGAUGUGGCAGUUAGUUUUAUUUUCUAAAGCAACUAUUUCAGCUUCUAAAAUAUGAAUAUAUGCCAAAAAUCUUUGUUGGGCAAAUCGUGAUGGUAGUUUCUUGUUACUGGAAGUUUCAAUUCUUAAGAAUUCGUAGAUGUGAUGAAACGAUUUACUGUGUUCACUGUAAACCUUAUGAACAUGUUACCUGUGUUCAUUACAUUGGAGAGUUUUACAUCGCCUGUGUCUGUGAGGUCUGUGUAGAGAACUUUUUUUGUCUUUAAAUCAAUAAAAAUAUAAAUGCAGAAGUGCAGCUUCAAAUCAGCUCACCACCGAAUAUUUAAAGGAUGGAUGGAGUUUGAUUAUUCCUGCUGCUGUUACCUGCUGUCACUUAAAUCCAGUCCAGGGAGAUGAUUUCUAAAUUUCUAAAUUCAUCAGGAGACGAGGACCCCAUAAAAAGCAGCUGAUGUUUUGAGGCACUUUACUCUGGAUGGACAUCAAAGAUGGUGAAACCAUGAGAGCCCUGACGUCUUCUCCUGAAGCCAGCUUCCUGUACAGCUGGGACAGCUCAUCGGGCCGCGGUGCCUUCGACUCCCGCGUGCAGGGAAUAUCGAAGUCUGACGACAGCUGAGACUCUGACCGCUCCUCUGGCUCUGAUUGGAUGAACACAUCAUCAACCUCCUCUUUCUGGGUCUCGCUGGUCCUUGCGUCUCCUUGUUCCUGCCCAUCCCGCGCUGGUUGGAGGAUCAGGGUGUCGGGUAAAUACGAGUCCAUGUUCUGUGAGGAAUGAUUGGACAGAGAGGCAGACAGCGUCAGGCUAAAGCCAUCAGGGGCUGCUUCUUCAUCACUGAAGAGUUCAGGCGUCACUGAGCCUGUCAUCUCGGAGCAGCAGGACUGUGAUUGGCUCUUGAGGCUGUUCUGGCUGUCAGUCAGCGUCUCAGUGGUGAAGAAGUCUUCCCAUUUCGGAGCCUGAGAGGAAACAUUCUCCGGCUGUUUGCAUUCUCCCUCCUCCAUCACGUUUACGUCUCCCUUUCCCUCUUCACAUUCCUCCUCCUCCUCAUCGUCCUCUUCGCCGUUGGAUUCGGUGCAGUCGACAUAAUUAUGUCCAGCUGCCUGGGUGUUGGUGAUGGUCAGCGGUAAAGACUCUUCCACACACACAGGGGGCGCUGUCGUUUCAGGAGUUUUCUCUAAGAAAAGAAAAAAAAAAACUCACAAUUUAGCAAGCUGUAACAGUGGAGUACUCAGAUCAAUUCAAAGUGAUAAGGACAAUAAAAUACUGCAGUGUAUCGCAUCACUUCCUCAUGUUGCUGAACAUUUGAUCUUCUAUGUGAAACAUGCAGCACCCCUGAAGACAUCAAACCUGUCGUACAGCAGAAACCCUGCUGGGUCUACACGUGCAUUUGCUGGUGUCCUCUUCACUGCUGGUAGCCCAUUCAGGCUAGACAGGUGGUCCAGCUCCUCCAGCACAUCUAUGUGUGCAGGAGAUACCAGGAGAUGGGCUGUUACGUGAGGAGAGCUGGACAGGGCCCUUUGUGUGAGGAGGAACACUACCAGAGCCCUACAAAAUGAACUCCAGCAGCUCAGCUAAUCGUGUGCAUGUUUCUGACCAAAAGUCAGACUCCCUGAUGGUGGCACGAUGGCCCCACAUCCUUUAGUUGGACCGGUGCUAACAGCCCAGCACCGUGCGACUCAUUCAGCAUUCACCAGGGAGCACCAGAACUGGCAGGUCCACCACUGGCACCCCCAUCCUCUCCACAGAUGAGAUUCUGUGGCAAAUCCAGCGUGAGCCAUCUGAGGCAGCAAAGGCCAAUCAAACUGUGCUGGGCUCUGAGCACAGGUUCCACUAAAGGAAGGCCAGCUCGGACUCCUCUCAGGGGGAGAUGAGGCAGCCUACUGAGAGGAGGUCCUGAAGUUGACAGCCUGGUGUUCAGAGAACAACCUGGUACUGAACACCAUGAAAACCAAAGAGAUCAUCAUCGA